rnacentral:misc_RNA from 1 species
UUGUGGAGGAGGACGCCGAAGGUGGGGCUAAUGACUGGGGUGAAGUCGUAACAAGGUAGCCGUACCGGAAGGUGCGGCUGGAUCACCUCCUAACAGGGAGACAACAAAAUGUUUAAUAUUAUUAUUUUGUCACCUUAGGUCGAUCGGUAUCUCACGUUCUUAAUUAAUUAAGAAUUUCAAUUUCUAAGUUUUUCUAGGUCACACCCAUUAUUUUCCCUGGGCCAUUAGCUCAGGUGGUUAGAGCGCACCCCUGAUAAGGGUGAGGUCCCUGGUUCAAGUCCAGGAUGGCCCAUAUCUCUAUGUUGGGGGUAUAGCUCAGUUGGUAGAGCGCCUGCUUUGCAAGCAGGAUGUCAGCGGUUCGAGUCCGCUUACCUCCACUGAUUACCACCUCUUCCAUAAUUUGUAGAAGGGAAAUGUUUUGAGUUGUGAUCAAAUUCUGAACGAAUCUAGCUUCCUAAUGAAAGCAUUAAGAUGCUGGACUCAUUGAAUUAAUUUCAUUGUUUUCAGAGAACCUUGACAACUGCAUAGAUUAUUUUUUAAAGACAACAAUAAGCAUCUUAAUGAUGCAGAUUUAUUAUUUGUGCGAAUGCAUUAAUAACAAUUCUAUUAAGCUGAUGCUUCAAUUUUGAAGUUAUUGGUCAAGCUACAA